GGCAGCACCUGCUGUUCUCCUUAAUGACUUCUGCAGACAUUGGCCUUUUGUCACCUGGUCAAGAGCAGAAAAACUGCCCUGCUCCCUGGGGCUGGGGAGGACGGUGGUGUGGGGAUGUGCAUGAGUGAAAGGAAGGUUGUGCUGCUUACCAGGCAUGGAGCUACUUCCUGGAGCACCUUUAGGACACUGCUCGGGCCUCCUUCGUUCCAGUACUGCUCCCUACUCCACAGUGCUGAACACCUGGGGUCUAGAUGGGAAACGUUUGUGCAUAAAAAGUAUCCAGUACAGCGAAAGCACCGAGAAACGCUGGAGCCCGGUGCUGUGGUUAAUUCCCGUCCCAGCAGCGGUGCCCGCAGCGCUGGGCGAGGGCGGCACCUCGUGGGCAGCGCUGCCUGCAGCAUCCAUCCCCAGCUCCGCUCUGCUCUGCUCGUGUCCGCGGGGUGCCAUCACAAAUGUACCUUCACCAUCCUUUCAAUGAGUGAGCAUUCAAAAGAGAUGCACGGUGCAUAUUCAAAAUGCAAAAUAUUUGCAUAAAGAGACUGGGAAGAACAUCUUAUCUUUAAAUAAAAAGCAGGUGUUGAAACUCUGAUAGCAUUACUCUGACAACAGGAUAUGGAAAAAUAAACAUGCC